GAAGAUGGCGACCGGCGCACGGGUGAGUAACACGUAUCCAACCUGCCGAUAACUCGGGGAUAGCCUUUCGAAAGAAAGAUUAAUAUCCGAUGGUAUAUUAAAACCGCAUGGUUUUACUAUUAAAGAAUUUCGGUUAUCGAUGGGGAUGCGUUCCAUUAGUUUGUUGGCGGGGUAACGGCCCACCAAGACUACGAUGGAUAGGGGUUCUGAGAGGAAGGUCCCCCACAUUGGAACUGAGACACGGUCCAA
rnacentral:rRNA from 1 species